CAGCCUCAAUUAAAUAAAUAAAAAAGUGUUACAAUUUGUCUUCGGAAUCACAUAGAGCUCAAACAUCCAAUUAAAGCUCUGCGAUGGGUUUCCUACAUAAAUUGAGAUUUUGACUAAAAGCAGUUUCAUAGCUGUGGUUUCCUUGAGUUAUCAUUACAUGUUAAGCAGCUAAUUUACGGAAGAGUUGAUAAAUCAGCAGACUAAAAUUAAUAAAGGUUAUAGUUUUAUAUAACUAAUAGGUCCCCAAUUACCUAUGUAGAUGAAGAUUACAAACCAGCCCCUGCCCGCUUAGAUUUAGGGAGAUGACAGGUCUGGAAGGUUAUAGAUUUAGGCUUACCCUUCUUCUAUUUUAAAG
rnacentral:misc_RNA from 1 species